rnacentral:sRNA from 1 species
GCAGGUCCUGAGCUCUGGCGGAGUGAUU